rnacentral:rRNA from 1 species
GCGUAAAGCGAGCGCAGGCGGUUUAAUAAGUCUGAAGUUAAAGGCAGUGGCUUAACCAUUGUUCGCUUUGGAAACUGUUAAACUUGAGUGCAGAAGGGGAGAGUGGAAUUCCAUGUGUAGCGGUGAAAUGCGUAGAUAUAUGGAGGAACACCGGUGGCGAAAGCGGCUCUCUGGUCUGUAACUGACGCUGAGGCUCGGAAGCGUGGGGAGCAAACAGGAUUAGAUACCCUGGUAGUCCACGCCGUAAACGAUGAGUGCUAGGUGUUAGGCCCUUUCCGGGGCUUAGUGCCGCAGCUAACGCAUUAAGCACUCCGCCUGGGGAGUACGACCGCAAGGUUGAAACUCAAAGGAAUUGACGGGGGCCCGCACAAGCAGCGGAGCAUGUGGUUUAAUUCGAAGCAACGCGAAGAACCUUACCUAGACUUGACAUCUCCUGCAUUACUCUUAAUCGAGGAAGUCCCUUCGGGGACAGGAUGACAGGUGGUGCAUGGUUGUCGUCAGCUCGUGUCGUGAGAUGUUGGGUUAAGUCCCGCAACGAGCGCAACCCUUAUUGUUAGUUGCCAUCAUUAAGUUGGGCACUCUAGCGAGACUGCCCGGGUUAACCGGGAGGAAGGUGGGGAUGACGUCAAAUCGUCAUGCCCCUUAUGUCUAGGGCUACACACGUGCUACAAUGGUCGGUACAAUAAGACGCAAGCCCGCGAGGGGGAGCAAAACUGGAAAACCGAUCUCAGUUCGGAUUGUAGGCUGAAACUCGCCUACAUGAAGCUGGAGUUGCUAGUAA